CUUUAAUGCCUGUUUUUCAAAUCUAUGGGCUGACUCAUUUUGCUACAGUAACCUAACUGCCAAACAAGUCAGCAUUCCAGAAAGAGAAAAAGAACUUUCACCCUAUAGUUUUCAAGAUCCCCAUUUCCCUUUGAGCAAAAUGCAAGUUUUGGAUGCUCCUGAUAGGUCCCAAACUUAAGUCUUCCACUCUUGAUAGUUAGUCAGAAGGAAUGAAGGACACAGCAGCACCCGUGACAGUAACAUGCUGAUGGACGCAACAUUCCAUGAUCUGGCAGCAGUGUGAAAGCACGUCAGCUCAACCCGACAUCGAGUGACAUCAUCACAACGAAGCCAA